rnacentral:rRNA from 1 species
UGGGGAAUAUUGCACAAUGGGCGCAAGCCUGAUGCAGCGACGCCGCGUGAGCGAAGAAGUAUUUCGGUAUGUAAAGCUCUAUCAGCAGGGAAGAAAAUGACGGUACCUGACUAAGAAGCUCCGGCUAAAUACGUGCCAGCAGCCGCGGUAAUACGUAUGGAGCAAGCGUUAUCCGGAAUUACUGGGUGUAAAGGGAGCGUAGACGGAUUUGCAAGUCUGAUGUGAAAGGCGGGGCUGCAACAUCCUCGGACGUGCAUUGGGAAACUAUUAGGAAUCUUGAGUUGGCCGGAGCAGGGAGUAAAGCGGAAAUUUCCCUAGUGUAGCGGUGAAAUGCGUAGAUAUUAGGAGGAACACCAGUGGCGAAGGCGGCUUACUGGACGGUAACUGACGUUGAGGCUCGAAAGCGUGGGGAGCAAACAGGAUUAGAUACC